rnacentral:snRNA from 1 species
CACCUGGGAAGGUCAUAUACUGAAAUUGAAGUUAGCACAGCCCCUUUGCAAGGAUGACAAGCAAAUCUGUGAAGCAUUUCAUAUUUUU